AAACAGCUGAGCAAAACAUUAACUCAAGAAGUAAGAUAAAGAAUAACAAGAAGACUUUUAAUUAGAGAUGAUAGAAUAAAGACAUAUCUACUUCCCUCUCCCCCCAAAAUCAAACGAAUAAUUUUUAAAAAGGAAAAUGGUAUAGAAAAGUCCAUUUGAUAUGAAAUUUGAGAAUGGUCAUCAUCCCAAACUUCAGUCAUGAAGAAUACCUGCAAUAUGCAAUGAAAUCAGGAUCAAUUUGAAGACUUAUUAUUGGGAGUUUGAGAGAAGUAAAUGUUUGGGGUGGAGUUAAUUGGGGGGGAGGGUGGUACCAAGACAGUGGCUUAUCAGAGGGACAGAAGACAAGAGAUGUCAGACUUUCAGACCUUGGGUCUGCACUGUAACCAUACCGGCCCCUUCUGCUCUACCAUGCAGAAUCACCCCAAGACCCCCCAUAGGAUGAAUUCUUAGAGUGUGGUGUCCCUAAAGACUCGGGAAGGGGCUUAUGGCUGGUUUGACAUAAGUGGGGAUUGUCAGGCUGUCCCCCAUACUAUAUUACAAAGACAUUCAAGGUACUUUUGAAUUCCAGGAAUCCAGAAGCUGUUGGGUGCUGCAUUUAUCAAGUGAAGGGACCCGCUGUCAUGGGACCAAAGGCUGACCCACUGAUGAUGCAUCAAGAUCAGCGGGUGACAGAACUGCUGGCUGCCGUAUUACAUACCACAAACUUGAUGGCUUAAAACAACAGAAAUUUAUUGUUUCACAGUUCUGGAGACCAGAAGUCUGAAAUCAAGGUGUUGGCAGGAGGAUUCUUGCUUGCCUCUUCCAGCUCCUGGCAGUCCCAGUCUCUUUUGAGAUAUAGUAGAAAAGAGAUUAAACUCAAGAUAGCAAGCAGAGAUGAUGGGGGAAGAGAGACGCCAUGCCACAUGAAGAUCACCAAGGAGCCAAGGAAUAGAAGCCACAGAGAAAAGGACCUUCCCCCAGGGCUGACAGAGAGCGAAAGCCUUUCCCUAGAGCUGGUGCCCUGAAUCCGAACUUCUAGCCUCCUAACUAGGUGUCAAUGUGUUUGGAGGGGAGGAUACUCCCUGAAAGAUUUCACCGGUCAGCAUGCAGCGGGAAUACUCCUCCACGGGGGUCUCAAGCCCUGUGAGUACAGCUGUUGUGCUGGAUUUUCCGAAAGUUUUGAUAUCUACAGGCCGGGAGUCAGCAGGGCUGGAUGGUAGCCCUUGGGUUGCGUGACACACAGCAGAAGAUGGAAGUGGGACAGAUGCCCAGCCCCUAAGGAAAGUGGCUAAGAGCACUGCUGCUCGUGCUGCCCCUGCCGGCAGCACGAGGGCACCAGUGGGGGCGGCAGACCAGGCAGCCUGGUUGUCCACAGAUAGAUGUUGACAAACUGCUAUAGGAGCCCAGUUCCAAAAAGAAAAGAACAUGGAGACAUUGUUGAAAUGGUGUAGCUUUUGCGGUGUGUAUUUUUACCAAAAAAUAAAAUUAAAAAAUAAAUAAGAAAAGAGAAGGUGUUGGAUGUCGGGUGGGGGUGGAGGGAGAUAGCCCAGAGGGUGCUCAGUGCCAUGUCAGUUGAGCGUAGUGACUUCUUUAGGGUGGGGCCGGCAGCAGGGAGCAUUGAGAUCCGGAAGCAGACAACACUUCGGUACCCUGGCACUGUGCCCAGCCUGUCUGAACCAGCAUCAUGCCUGCUGAAACGUGUGUGGUCACAGGAGAAAGGGAACUGGGUUGGGUGACAGAGUGGGUGGUUUGGGGAAGUGUGAGCUUAAAUAAUCCUGGCUUUGGGGGACUAGAAGGAGGUGGCAGCGCCAGAGAAUCAGAAAGUCAGCCCAUAUUUCAAACUUGAGUAAGAGCAGGUACUAACCUCCAUCUGGCCUCUGGCCACAAGCUGCUCAUGAAAGGGAAGCAGGUUGGUUUCUUGUGUGUGACCUGUGCACCCCCAGGGCUUCUGGAAAUGCCUCGCCUGCAUUUCUUGGUUCUCCUGGGAGCCGGCGUGUAAUAGAUUUGGGUACAUUUUAACCCGAAAAUGCAAAAACAUCCUUCCAGCUGCAUCCUGCUUUUCCUUCCAGGCCCAGAGCGAUAUGGGUGUGUGUGUGUGUUGGGGUGGGGGGAGCUUGGUUCUGAAGUCAAAUGGAAACUGCUUUUGUUUCUGGAGAUUAGAAAAACACUGUCAGAGGGCCAAGGCCUCAUCUCUAAAAUGAAAACGUGAAAUGGGCUGCGAGUCCUACUUAAUAAUUCAGAGGCCAAACUAAGCCGACAAGAUGAUGGGGCAAACUAUCAGAUAUAUCCACACCCUUCUCUUUUUAUCAGCUUUCAAAAGUCCUGGUUGGCACCUGGUUAGAGAGAAGCAGUCUGUAACAAAUGGAGCUAAACCAUUCAUCUGUUUAUUCGUUUGUUUACUCAUUCAACAAAAUGUCAAUGACUGCUCAUGGUAUACCAGGCAGACACUGCUAGAUGCUGAAGAUACACACUCACACAAGGCAGAGACCCCUUUGCCUCAUGAACUUUAGAAUCUAGGCACCAAACCAAAGCUGUUGCUGUUGCGUCCAUUCCGACUCAUAGCAACCCUGUGCGUUAUAGAGUAGAACUGUGGUCCAUAGGAUUUUCUUGGCUGUAAUCUUUUCAGAAGCAAAUCACCAGCUGUUAGGUUAGUAGAGCAUUGCAAACUGUUUGCACCACCCAGGGACCCUUUUAGAGUCUGAUACCCUUUUAAGGUGUAUCAGAAUUACCUGGAGGACUUCUUAAAACACAGAUUGCUAGGCCCCACCCCCAGAGUUUCCAAUUCUGUAGGUCUGAGUUUGCUCCAAAAUACUCAUUUUUAACAGGUGGUGCUGUUGGUCUCAGAACCACACUUUGAGAACCACCAGGCCAGUCAACCAUUUUUACCUUUCAGCAGACAUGACUCACUGAGGUAGACUGGAGAGAACUUAGAGCCUGGAGUGUGUUGUUAGUAGCCUGAGGUGGCCAGCUGAAGGAUGCUGGCCAUCCCAAGCCCCCGCCAGCAAAGGGUAUCAAUAUCUUUUUUUUUUUUUAUUGUGCUUGAAGCGAAAGUUUACAAAUCAAGUCAGUCUCUCAUACAAAAAUUUAUACACACCUUGCUGUAACUCCUAGUUGCUCUCCCCCUAAUGAGACAACAUGUUCCUUCUCUCUAUCCUGUGUUUCCGUGUCCGUUCAGCCAGCUUCUGUCCUCCUCGGCCUUCACAUCUCCCCUCCAGACAGGAGCUGCACACAUAGUCUUAUAUGUCUACUUGAUCCAAGAAGCUCACUCCUCACCAGUAUCAUUUUCUGUCUUAUAGUUCAGUCCAAUCCCUGUCUGAAGAGCUGGCUUUGGGAAUGUUUCCUGUCUUAGGCUAACUGAAGGUCUGGGGACCAUGACCUCCGGGGUCCUUCUAGUCUUAGUCAGACCAUUUAGUCUGGUCUUUUUAUGAGAAUUUAAGGUCUGCAUCCCACUGCUCUCCUGCUCCCUCAGGGGUUCUCUGUUGUGUUGCCUGUCAUGGCAGUCAUCAGUUAUAGUGGGGCACCAUCCAGUUUUUCUGGCUUUGGGCUGAUGUGGACUCUGAUUUAUGUGGCCCAUUCCGUCUCUUGGGCUCAUACUUACCUUGUGACUUUGGUGUUCUUCAUUCUCCUUUGCUCCAGGUAGUUUGAGACCAAUUGUUGCAUCUUGGAUGGCCACUCCCUAGCGUUUAAGACCCUAGACGCCACUCUCCAAAAUGGGAUGCAGAAUAUUUUCUUAAUAGAUUUUAUUAUGCCAGUUGACCUAGAUGUCCCCGAAACCAUGGUCUCCAAACUCCUGCCCCUGCUAAGCCGGUCUUCGAAGCUUUUGGUUUAUUCAGGAAACUUCUUUGCUUUUGGUUUAGUCCAGUUGUGCUGAUCUCUCCUGUAUUGUGUGUUGUCCUUCCCUUCACCUAAAGUAGUUCUUGUCUACUAUCUAAUUAGUGAAUCCACCUCUCCCUCCUUACCUCCCUCCCCGAUCUCAUAACAAUCAAAGAUAUUUUCUUCUCUGUUUAAACUAUUUCUCGAGUUCUUAUAAUAGUGGUCUCAUACAAUAUUUGUCCUUUUGCAACUGACUAAUUUCAUUCAGCAUAAUGCCUUCUAGAUUCCUCCAUGUUAUGAAAUAUUUCACAGAUUCAUCAUUGUUCUUUAUUGAUGCAUAGUAUUCCGUUGUGUGAAUAUACCAUAAUUUAUCCAUUCAUCCGUUGAUGGGCACCUUGGUUGCUUCCAUCUUUUUGCUAUUGUAAACAGUGCUGCAGUGAACAUGGGUGUGCAUAUAU